rnacentral:rRNA from 1 species
GAUGAACGCUGGCGGCGUGCAUAACACAUGCAAGUCGAACGGAGUUGCGAUGAAACCUAGUGAUUUGCAACUUAGUGGCGGACGGGUGAGUAACGCGUGGGUAACCUACCUGGUAUUGGGGGACGAACAGUUAGAAAUGACUGCUAAUACCGCAUACGUGAUCGAGAGGGCAUCCUCUUGAUGAGAAAGGAGCAAUCCGACAUCAGAUGGACCCGCGUCUGAUUAGCUAGUUGGUGAGGUAACGGCCCACCAAGGCGACGAUCAGUAGCCGAACUGAGAGGUUGACCGGCCACAUUGGGACUGAGACACGGCCCAAACUCC